AAACAGAGUGAGGGCGAACCCUAAGAAGAAGAGAGAACAGCUGCCCACCCUAAGCUUCUUCUUCAACACCAAAAAUCAACAGCCGCAACUCCAUCCCUCACCACCAAGCAGCGCCUCCAAACACCACGGCCGCACUCACCAUCUCCGCGCCUCCGCCAGUCACCCCACUCGCCAGAAAUUCCUGUUUUGGUGCCAAAGAGUGCAGGGCUCUUGUUGUUGAGAUCUUAAAAAUUGUCCGCAUUAGAGAAAAACAGACAGAUCCGGAAGAACAAAUACAAAUUAAGAGAAGCUAAUCCGAGGUUGCCGUUCGAAGGUUUCCGGCCUAACGUUGCAGAUUCGAAGGAUAGAUUUUUUCAUCUAACUUGUUGUUCAAGUUCCGCAUUUGAUUGAGUUCAUAUCAAUUGUUCAUUGGUUGUGGCUGUUCUUCUAAAACUUUGCACAUCCGGACAGAAGUUAAUUAAAAAUUCAUUCAAGGUCCAUUCCAACCUUUAAUAUUUUACCUCCUGAUAUUUGUCACAUAUGUGUUUGAAUGGCAUAUGCGUACAUUUUCCAUGACUAUUUGUGGUAUUUUUGAUCUUAUGAUAAAAGUUGGUUAAUUGACACAUUUUGACGUCACUGAUUUAAUCAAAUGGUACCGCACCUUAAAUUGAAUAAGAGGUCCAGAUCUGAAAGCUUAUUUGGAAUUGAUUUCAAGGGUUGUUCGGUAAAAUUAAAAUAAAUUAGGUGCAAGAUAAACUAUAUUUUUCUUUUAUUCUUGUUUUAUUUACUUCUUCGGGUAGGAGCAUAUCUAGGCCGACCAUAUUUGGGUAGGCAAGUCUUAGGAUUUUUGUUAGUUUCGAGGUGAGAGAUUGUUCCCUUAGUUAAAUUUAUCCGGGGAAUGCCUCGAAGGAUUUGUAUAUAUUUUUAUCCGGAGUAUGCCCCGAAAUAUUUGUAUUUGGAAGCCGAAAGUAGAACUCGUAAUAUUUAAUUUUAAUUUUAAUUUUUUUCUUUUAUUAGAUGGGGACGACUUCGAGCAUCUUGUGUGUUUGUUUUUCUUUUCUGUGUUUGUUCUUAUCUCAAUUUGAAUAUUUUAAAAGCCAACUUGAUCAUCUAUGCAACCGUACUAGUUACGGGACUCGGGGAAUGCCUAACACCUUCUCCCCGAGUUAAAUGGACCCCCUUAUCCGAAUCUCUGGUGUAGAUUUAGUUUUGGAGUCCAAAGUGUUUUAAAAGGAAAAUCAUUUUAAAAACGGUGACCUGACACACCGAAACCAAUGUCAGGUGACGAUUUUGAGUUAUUUUCUUUUGAACACAAUUUUGUCAUUUUUUAAUUAAAAACCCUUUUGAGCUUUACAAAUCUUUUUAUUAAUUUAAGAGGGUUUAGUGAAGUUGGUAAAAAAGGGGUGUGACAACGACCUGACCGGUUGUUUGCUUUCUAGAAUCCCUUUCCCCUAAAUAAGACUUUUCGUACUUGCUUUUACUGAUUUAUAUCUUGAGGGGAUGGUUGUUUCGGGGUUUGCAAGAGCUUGGGUUGAAAUCGAAACACUUGGUUCCUUAAGGUUGGCUUAAAAGACCAAGUUUAACUUCGGUCAACAUUUUGAGUAAACGAUACCGAAAUCAGAAUUUGACGGUUUCAGUAGGUUCGUAUGAUGAUUUUGGACUUGAGCGUAUAUUCGGAUCGAGUUUUGGAUGACCCGGGAGCAUUUCGGCGCCUAAUAGUGAAAGUUGGUUCUUUAAGGAUUUUGAAGUUCUUUAAAUUUGGUUUAGAGUGAGUUUUGGUGCUAUUGAGGUCCGAAUUGAAUUCGGAGACUGGGAAUAGUUUUGUAAUGUCAUUAAAGACCUGCACGCAAAAUCUGGUGUCACUCCGAGUAGUAUAAGUACGUUUCGGCGCAUUGGAAGUAAAUUGAAGAACUUGAAGUUCAUAAGUUUGAAUCAAUUGGUUUUAGGGUGUGAUUCCUAGUUGUUCUUAGGGUUCGAGCGAGUCCGUUUUAUCAUUCCAAACUUGUGGGUAUGUUCGGGCGGGGCUCUGGGGGCCCUGAGCGUCAAUCGGACGAGGCUCAGACUAAUUUGAAAAAUAUGAGCAAGAGCUGAAGCCCCAGCUUCUGUCAUAAUCGCACCUACAGUUGGUCAGCCGCAGGUGCGAGCUUGCAGGUACGGCCAAGGGUGGGAAGCCCAGAACCGCAGAUGCGGCCCAUCCUUUGCAGAAGCAGAACCGCAAAUGUGGUGGGCCUUUCGCAGAAGCGGCCCCAGCCAGCCCAGUGAAUUCCCCAGAAGCGAACCAUUUUUCGCAGAUGCGGCCUAUGACCGCAGGUGCGGAAAUCACUGAAGGUAGUGGCCUUCAUUUAAUACGGGCCUUAGACGUUUUUGACUCAUUCCACUCCAUUGUUGGGCAAUUUUAGAGCUUCUUGAGAGAGGUUUUUCACCAAGCUUUUGGAGGUAAGUAAUUCCUACUAUAUGUGAGUUAAAUACUUAGAUUUUAGGUAGAUUAACAUGUAAAGAUUAGUGAAAAUCAUAGGAUUAAAGGAAAACCUAGGGUUUGGCAAGAAUGAGAUUUUACCACGAAACUGACCAUGAAACUUAGUGAUAAUCAUAUAUUUUUAUUCCUUAGGUUAUGGAUAACAACUUUCUUUGAAAAUUUUUGAAUUCCGGGCACAUGGGCCCGGGGGUGAAUUUUAGGAAUCUUGCCUUUGGGGUUGGGAAGUCACCUUAAUAGUUAGGAUAUGAACUUUUGAACCUGUAGAGAUUGGUUUUUACAUUAUUUGAAUAGUUUUGGAUUGUUCGGCUCCGAUUUGAGGGUUUGAGUGCAUUCUCGAGUUUGGAAGUAGGCUUUGAAGCAAGGUAAGUCUCCUUUCUAACCUUGUAAGAGAAAAAUUUCCCCAUAGGUGAUUUUAAUUUAAAAUGUAAGUAUUUAUGGGGGCUACGUACGCACGAAGUGACGAGCGUCCGUACGUAGCUACUAUUCCUGUUAUGUACAGGUGGUUUAGGUUGACACCAUGCUUUGUGAAUACCGUUAUUUAAUGAUACUUGGUACUUGUAUUAAAUGGAAUUAAGUUGAGACUUUUAAGGAUUUAAAGCUUCAAGUUGAAUUACCUUUAUUUUAAAGAAAAGAAUUUAAUGAAUUUGAUUUAAAUGAUUAAAUUUAAAUUUGAUCGUGUCUCAUGAAUGAUUCGCGAGCGGGGUGAAUAGAUGCAUCUAUGGUUCGCGCCGUUCGACCCUCCGGCAGUGCAAUUUUAUUAUUAUGUUGGAUCAGGCCGUACGACCUCGACAUAACUUACACAUGCUAUUUAUUUGUGAACUUUCUGUGAUUUGUAUUGCUUAAUGCCUUGAAUGUAAAUUGUUAAAUGAUAUGAAUGAAAUUUACAUUAUAUUAAUGAAAGAAGAACUUGUCACUUCCUGAUAUUUAGUGUCGAUUUUUUUAUGAUAUCCAUGCUUAGCAUAACACUUUAUUUAUAUUAUUGUUGGCCCUAGUAAGUGUUAAGUCGACCCCUCGUCACUACUUCUUUGAGGUUAGACUGGAUACUUAUCGGGUACGUAUUGUUUAUAUACUCAUACUAUGCUUCUGUACUUAAUUGUACAGGAUUUGAGGCUGGUGCAUCUAGUUACCCACCCGGCACACAUUCUUUAUAUCGGUUCGAGACUUCACGGUGAGUUGCCCCCUUUCCGAGCCAUCCAACAGCAUCGUCGGAGUUUCUCUUUUGUUGUAUCUAUUUAUACUAUCUCAGACAGUAGGAUAGUUAUAUUUUUGUACAUUCUACUAGUUGCCCUCGUACUUGUGACACUAGAUCCUGUCACACACAUUAGUAGACUAUUAUUUUUGGGUGUAAGAUUAUAUUCAUGAUUUCCUCUAGUGGUUCCUCCAUUAGUUACCUUGUAAUUUCAUUAAGUACUAAAUGCUUAAAUUUAAAUAAAAUUUGUGGUCGGAAAUUCUUAAAUAAAAAUAGAAAUUACUAGGUUGUCCACGGUUGGACUGUCUAGCGGCGGAUGCUGGAUGCCAUCACGACCUGACAUGAAAUUGGAUAAUGACAACAUGGUAUCAGAGCACUAGGUUCACGUAGGUCUCACAAGUGAUAGGCAGACCUCAUAGAUCUUGCGGAUCAGUGUGGAGACGUCCAUACUAAUUUUCGAGAGGCUAUAGGGAGUUAGGAAACUACUCUUUAUUCAUCUUCUAUCGUGCAAUUGAUGGUAUACUAAAUUCUCUCUCUUAUUCUCUCACAGAUGGUGAGAACGCGCACAACAGACAUCCCAGACUGGGGAAGAGCUGCUCCCCCAGACUAGAGGCCGAGGUAGGGGUCGGGGGAGGGAACCGACCCGAGGUAGGGGACGAGGACGUCCUAGAGUUGCCCUAGUUGCACCACCAGUGGAUCCAGUAGAGGAUCCCAUCAUUAAAGAUCAGGGCGAGGUGCCCGUAGCAGAGCCUGCC
rnacentral:lncRNA from 1 species